rnacentral:rRNA from 1 species
CGUGCAGGCGGUUGCCAAAGUCGGGUGUGAAAGCCUUGAGCUCAACUCAAGAAUUGCACUCGAUACUUGGUGACUAGAGGACCGGAGAGGAUAGUGGAAUUCCCAGUGUAGUGGUGAAAUACGUAGAGAUUGGGAAGAACACCAGUGGCGAAGGCGGCUAUCUGGACGGUUUCUGACGCUGAGACGCGAAAGCGUGGGGAGCAAACAGGAUUAGAUACCCUGGUAGUCCACGCCGUAAACGAUGGGUGCUAGACGUUGGCGGGCUUGCUCGUCAGUGUCGUAGCUAACGCGUUAAGCACCCCGCCUGGGGAGUACGGCCGCAAGGUUGAA